GUACGCUCAAAAAAGUCUUUUUUUUAAUUCAAUUUUCUGUUGUUUUUUUUUAAACAGGAGGGGAAAGACAAGUCCUACUUGUUAGACAAACUCCAAAAUCUCCAAACAUCUCAGCCUAAUAAAACAAACAAACUGAUGAAUCAAAAAAAGCACACCAGAGGCUACUCAGAUGGCCGCUCGCCAGGCAGUCAGACCAACUCAAGUGCAGUGGUUCAGGCUUUACUUGCUCGGCAGCAGCUCGAAGAACAAGGAGAAAGAUGCGACAGAGGUGGAGUGCCCGUUCCCGCCGACAUCUCCACCUCCAGCGCCUUGAUACAGGCCAUGUUGGCCCGUCAAAGAGCUGAGGACCUUGACGAAGAUUUUUACCACAUGCGUGAUAAUCAUACAUCAUCCUUCACCACCCCAGCACCUGCCAUGCAGGCCGGAGAGAGGGCAAAGGUUCCAGAGAGAGAUGAAUACUACAGUACAACAGAGUUUUCUGAAACUCCUGUCAACAGAUCCAGUGCUCUCACACAGGCCUUGCAGGCCAGACAAAGAGCAGAGGACAGAGCAGAUGAUACAGAUGAUCUGCCAUCCUCUGUGUCAGGUGUUAUGAUGCAAGUCAUGCAAGCCAGGGAGAGGGCAGAGGCAGAGGACGCGAUUCAGUGGGUUCCCGCUUCCCCACAAAACCCGGCUCCUCCAGGAUCCAGCGCGCUCAUUCAGGCCAUGUUGGCCCGACAGCAAGCCCAGAAUGAGUAUGAUGAUGGCUACUGAGCAAAUGGCUCUGAAUUGACCUUAACAGCAUGGAUUUUUAAUAACUGAAAUCAGUCGUGUUAUGAUGUUGCAUCACAACAGUGCAGUACUGUAGCAGGCCCAGCAGACAGAGUGCAGGUUCACCUCUUUAUGCACUUUUUUUUACAAAUAUAUUUUCAUAGUAUAUAAUAUAUUUCAUCAUUUCAAUUACAGUGUACAAGCCUUUUCUGAUAAAUAGGCAUAGUACUAUACAAUAUAAACACUAGGCUUGAUAUUGUGCCAUCUGUAAUGAAAUGUGUGUAUCAUAAGCAGAAGUUGUUCAUAUUGUACAUAUUGUCUGUGAAAUGUUGAUAAAUAUAAGGUACAAAUAAAAGCAAG
rnacentral:lncRNA from 1 species